rnacentral:rRNA from 1 species
UACGUAGGCAGCGAGCGUUGUUCGGAAUCACUGGGCGUAAAGGGUGCGUAGGCGGGUCUUUAAGUCAGGGGUGAAAUCCUGGAGCUCAACUCCAGAACUGCCUUUGAUACUGAGGAUCUUGAGUUCGGGAGAGGUGAGUGGAACUGCGAGUGUAGAGGUGAAAUUCGUAGAUAUUCGCAAGAACACCAGUGGCGAAGGCGGCUCACUGGCCCGAUACUGACGCUGAGGCACGAAAGCGUGGGGAGCAAACAGGG